rnacentral:rRNA from 1 species
CCCUUAGAUGUUCUGGACCGCACGCGCGCUACACUGAUUCAUGCAACAAGUUUUGUCCUUGGCUGAUAGGCCUGGGUAAUCUUUGAACGUGAAUCGUGAUGGGGAUAGAUGAUUGCAAUUAUUCAUCUUCAACGAGGAAUUCCUAGUAAACGCAAGUCAUCAGCUUGCAUUGAUUACGUCCCUGCCCUUUGUACACACCGCCCGUCGCACCUACCGAUUGAAUGGUCCGGUGAAAUCUUCGGAUCUGAGAGAUGUCUGAUUAAUUUCGGACGCCUUUUGGAAAAGUUGUUUAAACCUUACCAUUUAGAGGAAGGUGAANUCGUAACA